UACGUAGGGGGCGAGCGUUGUUCGGAUUUACUGGGCGUAAAGGGCGCGCAGGCGGCUCAUUUUGUCAGGCGUGAAAGCCCCGGGCUUAACCUGGGAACUGCGUUUGAUACGGAUGGGCUAGAGUUCGGGAGAGGAGAGUGGAAUUCCCAGUGUAGAGGUGAAAUUCGUAGAUAUUGGGAAGAACACCGGUGGCGAAGGCGGCGACCUGGGCCUUGACUGACGCUGAGGCGCGAAAGCGUGGGGAGCAAACAGG
rnacentral:rRNA from 1 species